GAUGAACGCUAGCGGCAGGCCUAAUACAUGCAAGUCGAACGGUAAGGCCCUUUCGGGGGUACACGAGUGGCGGACGGGUGCGUAACGCGUAUGCAACAGUGCCUUCCAGCGGGGGAUAGUACCAGGGAAACUUGGCGCAAUACCCCAUAGAAUUACGGGACCGCAAGUGGUCUUGUGAUUAAAACUCCGGUGCUGGGAGAUUGGCAUGCGUGACAUUAGCUAGUUGGCGGGUAACGGCCCACCAAGGCGACGAUGUCUAGCUGGUCUGAGAGGAUGAUCAGCCACACUGGGACUGAGACACGGCCCAGACUCCUACGGGAGGCAGCGAGUAGGGAAUAUUGGAC
rnacentral:rRNA from 1 species